rnacentral:rRNA from 1 species
AAUCAACGCUGGCGGCGUGCCUCAGACAUGCAAGUCGAACGAUUGAGACUUCUUUCGGGAAGUGCAUAAAGUGGCGCACGGGUGAGUAACACGUAAGUAAUCUACCCUCGAGUGGGGAAUAACGUUCGGAAACGAACGCUAAUACCGCAUAACGCAGCGGCACCGCAAGGUGACAGUCGUUAAAGGGGCAAUCCGCUUGAGGAGGAGCUUGCGGCAGAUGAGCUAGUUGGUAAGGUAAUGGCUUACGAAGGCUACGAGCUGUAUCCGGACUGAGAGGAAGGUCGGACACACGGGCACUGAAUAACGGGUCAGACUCCUACGGGAGGCAGCAGUCGGGAAUUUUGGGCAAUGGGCGAAAGCCUGACCCAGCAACGCCGCGUGAAGGAUGAAGUAUUUCGGUAUGUAAACUUCGAAAGAAUGGGAAGAAUAAAUGGCGGUACCAUUUAUAAGCUCCGGCUAACUACGUGCCAGCCGCCGCCGUAAGAC